AGAGAGAGAGAGAGAUAUUAAGAUUUUCAGAGAUUGAGAGAGGGAGGAAAGAAGGAGAAAAAAAAAAAGAAAAGAAACAAGAGGAUCUCAGCCCUCCCAGUUCAUUGAGGAUCAAGGUUGCCUGCUUGCUAAGAAAGACAGCUGUGGGACACGGCCAAUCACGCCUUCACCAGGGCCGCAGAUUCUGUUUGUGCAGUUGAGUCUCUGCCCACAGGGCUGCUGAGGGGCCCUCAUUACCCAGAUGGAAGAGGAAAUACAACCGGCAGGUGCUGGCUUUUGGGGCUCUUCCUGUGAAUGUCAGGAAGCUGGCUGACUAACCCACACUGCACAGUGCCCCAAGGGGCCCUUUGAAGCCAAGGCCCUCAAGUAUUUGCAGAUCGAUUAGGAAUAAUGAAUAUUUGGCCCAUGAGCUGCCACUCCCUGCUCUUGUUCCUGUGGCAGACAUUACCAAUCAAUUCCAUAGCCACCCCCUUGUUAUGACAGCCCCUGCCAGAACCAAACUUAACUAAUCAAGAUUGGCACAGGAGAUAAAGCCCAUUUGCCUUUUCUGGACUAUCACCAGCUCUGGUGAGACAAUGAGGCCUAUCUGGCCCUCACUCAGAACUGACUCAAUAGAUAACCAGGUCUGGGGAUUCCCAGGCUUGUUCCUGUAGUCUGUGAAUAACUGGGGGCUGGAGUGAAGGCUCUGCACGCUGAACAGUGGGGAAGAGGUGUGAGUGACACCCAUGCUGCCUCAGGCACUGAGGGCAGUGCUCCUAUUGGGAGAGCCCACCUGGAGAGGCACAGAGUGGCCAGGAAAGAGGUGAAGCAGGUUCCCUACUCAGCACUUGAGGUGCUGAAAAAGGAGCACACGCCUGAAUUGAAGGCAAAGUUUGGUCAGCCUCCUCGAAUGGUUAGAGGCAAGGCCAGGCUGGAAGCUGCCAAAUUGACAUCCCCAGCCCAGAUUCCUGGAGUCCAAACUUGGAUAUCCAACAGCCAGUGUCUCAGAGGCAUCCAAAUCCAACUGUCCAAAACCGGACUCCCAGAUUCCUACUCCCCCGCCCUGACACUCUACUCCUGGUCUCAGGAAACAGCAACUCAGUCUUUCCAGUUGCUCAAGGUGAAAGCCCUGGGGUUGCUUCUGACACCUCCGCUUUCUCACAGCUCAAAUCCCACCAGUUCUAUCUUCAAAAUAUACUCAGAAUUGGCGGGGUAAAGUGGCGAGUGGCUCACGACUGAAAAUCCAGUGAUGGGAGGCUGAGGCAGGAAGAUUGCAAGUUUGAAGCCAGCCUCAGCAACUUAGCCAGACGCUAUCUUUAUAAAAAAAUUAAAAGGGCUGGGGAUGUGGCUCAGCAGGUUAAGUGUCCGUGAUACCAAAACCAAAAAGCAAAAAACAAAAACUGACUCUCUCUUUCUUGCUCGUUCUCGCUCUUGCUCUCCAGAAUCUGUGCAUUCCUCACCCACUGUCACCAUUGGCACUGCUAUUAACCCGUCCAGCCUCACCAUGUCACCAUCCCCCUGGGAAUCUCUGAAGUAGCCUCCUCAUGGGCUCCCGAGCACCAUCCCUGCCCCGCAGCCCAUGCUUCUUACAACAACACAAGAAACACAUGUCAGAUGAGCUUGGAACCCUCCAAUGACCUCGUAGCUUGCAUGGAGGCCAAAGCCCUCCUAUAGCUGUGAAGCCCUACAUCACUGCCUUCCCACUCCCGUACCUCACCCCGGACCAAUUUCAUAGGCUUCGGUCAUCCUUCAUUCCCUUCUGUGAAGGUGGGCAUUGUCCUGUCUCAGGGCCUUGAACUUUUCUCUGCCCCAGAGACUCUGCUCCCAAACAUCCCUGUGACUCCCAACAUCUGCACAGUUGGCUUCCCUCUGUCCUUUGGAUUUUGAUGUCACUGCGGUGCAGCUCUCUCUGACAGCCUGUUUUUAAUGCAAGCCUCUGCCAGCUCCAGGACUGGCAGUCCCCUUCCAUGCUCUAUUUUUGGCCAUUGGCAAAGAAAGAUACUAAAUUUUUCUGAUUGUGGGUAUUGUGAAUCUCCCUUCCUAGAUUACUCCAAGGGCAGGGAUUUCUGGGUAUUUGAUUGCUGUUCCAGUACCCCAAGCAGUGGUAUUAGAACAAGGUAAUAAUACACAGUAGUAGAAAAUAAUAAGUUACUGCUGGGCAUGGUGGCACACAAUAGUAUAAUCCUAGAGACUCAGGACACUGAAGCAGAAAGAUGUCAAGUUCCAGACCAACCUGGACAACUUAGCAUUACACCUAUCUCAAAAUAAAAAAUUAUAAAGAGAGUACUAGUGAGUUCAGUGCCAGUACUGAAAAAAAACCUUAUUAUUAAUGAAUAAUAAAUAUUGAUUGAGUUAAUGAUAGCUUGAAUUUAUUAAGUACUUACUUAGAGUCAGAUACUGUCCUAAACAUUGUGUGUGUGUGUGUGUGUGAUCUUUUUUGUUUGUUUGUGGUGGUGCUGGGGAUUGAACCCAGGGUCUCACGUGUGCUAGACAAGUGUUCUACUACUGAGCUAUUAUCCCCAGUCCUCAUUUCAUCUUUAGAAUAAUUUGAUGAGGUCAGUUCUAAUAUCCCCAUAUACAGGUAAGGCAACGAGACACAGAGCACCUAAUGGUGGAGCAGGAAGGUUGCAAGUUUGAAGCCAGACGGGGCAAUUUAGAGAGACUGUGUCUCAAAAUUAAAAAAAAAAAAUUCUCAAAGCCCUGGGAAAGUAGCCCAGGGCUCAAUCAGGAAGGAAGGAAAGAAGGGAGGGAGGGAAGAAAUUGUACCCAGACUAGUAUCAGUGAAAUUUGGAGUCAGGCAGACCUAAGUUAAAAUUCCAGACUUCCUAUCUUCUGGAAUACAUGAUUUGGACAAGUUUCUUAGUUUCUCUAAAUGUCAGGUCUCUUGUGGGCAGGGAGGGUGGAAAAUCUAUCUUUUAUCUAUCUUGGGUUGUUAGAUCCUCCUAGCCCUCAAUAUGUUGUACCAGUUCUUUAUCUAUCACUGCCCUCUAGUGGUCAAUUGAAGCAACACAACAGUUGGUCGUGGUGGCAUACACCUGUAAUCCCAGUCCCUCAAGAGCCUGGACAGGAGAACCACCAAUUCAGGCGUUAGCCCUGGGCUUCAGAGAAAGAGAUCGUGUAGCAAAAACAAACAAACAAACAAACAAAAAACAUAUAAACAAAUAACAAAAACAUGACUAUGUAAAUACACAUUCUCUUCUAUUUACAAUGGAGAUUAUGUCCUAAAAAAUCUAUGCUCAAUUGGAAAUAUACCAAGUUGAAAAUGCUUUGAAUACAAUUAAUGUCCCUCACAUUGUAGUUUAGCAACACAAUACACUAUAGAGUAUUGGUUGCAUACCCUC
rnacentral:lncRNA from 1 species